GAAACGACUGCUAAGACUGGAUAGGAAAUAAAAAGGCAUCUUUUUAUUUUUAAAAAACCUUUUUCGGAAGGUAUGCUUAAAGAGGGGCUUGCGUCACAUUAGUUAGUUGGCAGGGUAAAGGCCUACCAAGACUAUGAUGUGUAGCUGGACUGAGAGGUUGAACAGCCACAUUGGGACUGAGACACGGCCCAAACUCCUACGGGAGGCAGCAGUAGGGAAUUUUCGGCAAUGGAGGAAACUCUGACCGAGCAACGCCGCGUGAACGAUGAAGUAUUUCGGUAUGUAAAGUUCUUUUAUUGAAGAAGAAAAAAUAGUGGAAAAACUAUCUUGACGAUAUUCAAUGAAUAAGCCCCGGCAAACUAUGUGCCAGCAGCCGCGGUAAUACAUAGGGGGCGAGCGUUAUCCGGAAUUAUUGGGCGUAAAGGGUGCGUAGGCGGUUUAAUAAGUCUAUAGUUUAAUUUCAGUGCUUAACACUGUCCUGCUAUAGAAACUAUUAGACUAGAGUGAGAUAGAGGCAAGUGGAAUUCCAUGUGUAGCGGUAAAAUGCGUAAAUAUAUGGAGGAACACCAGAGGCGUAGGCGGCUUGCUGGGUCUUUACUGACGCUGAGGCACGAAAGCGUGGGGAGCAAACAGGAUUAGAUACCCUGGUAGUCCACGCCGUAAACGAUGAGUACUAAGUGUCGGGAUUACUCGGUACUGAAGUUAACACAUUAAGUACUCCGCCUGAGUAGUACGUACGCAAGUAUGAAACUUAAAGGAAUUGACGGGACUCCGCACAAGCGGUGGAUCAUGUUGUUUAAUUCGAAGAUACACGAAAAACCUUACCAGGUCUUGACAUACUCUGCAAAGCUAUAGCAAUAUAGUGGAGGUUAUCAGGGAUACAGGUGGUGCAUGGUUGUCGUCAGCUCGUGUCGUGAGAUGUUAGGUUAAGUCCUAAAACGAGCGCAACCCUUGUCAUUAGUUGCCAGCAUGUCAUGAUGGGCACUUUAAUGAGACUGCCAAUGAAAAAUUGGAGGAAGGUGAGGAUCACGUCAAAUCAUCAUGCCCCUUAUGAUCUGGGCUACAAACGUGAUACAAUGGCUGUUACAAAGAGUAGCUGAAACGCAAGUUUAUAGCCAAUCUCAUAAAAGCAGUCUCAGUUCGGAUUGAAGUCUGCAACUCGACUUCAUGAAGUUGGAAUCGCUAGUAAUCGCGAAUCAGCAUGUCGCGGUGAAUACGUUCUCGGGGUUUGUACACACCGCCCGUCA
rnacentral:rRNA from 1 species